rnacentral:rRNA from 1 species
GAUGAACACUGGCGGCGUGCCUAACACAUGCAAGUUGAACGAAGCAAUCAAGACAGAAUCCUUCGGGAGGAAGAUUUGAUUGACUGAGUGGCGGACGGGUGAGUAACGCGUGGGUAACCUGCCUUGUACAGGGGGAUAACAGUUAGAAAUGACUGCUAAUACCGCAUAAGCGCACAGUACUGCAUGGUACAGUGUGAAAAACUCCGGUGGUACAAGAUGGACCCGCGUCUGAUUAGCCAGUUGGCAGGGUAACGGCCUACCAAAGCAACGAUCAGUAGCCGACUUGAGAGAGUGAUCGGCCACAUUGGGACUGAGACACGGCCCAG